AGUGAACGCUGGCGGUAGGCCUAACACAUGCAAGUCGAACGGCAGCACAGUAAGAGCUUGCUCUUACGGGUGGCGAGUGGCGGACGGGUGAGGAAUACAUCGGAAUCUACUUUUUCGUGGGGGAUAACGUAGGGAAACUUACGCUAAUACCGCAUACGACCUACGGGUGAAAGCAGGGGAUCUUCGUACCUUGCGCGAUUGAAUGAGCCGAUGUCGGAUUAGCUAGUUGGCGGGGUAAAGGCCCACCAAGGCGACGAUCCGUAGCCGGUCUGAGAGGAUGAUCAGCCACACUGGAACUGAGACACGGUCCAGACUCCUACGGGAGGCAGCAGUGGGGAAUAUUGGACAAUGGGCGCAAGCCUGAUCCAGCCAUACCGCGUGAGUGAAGAAGGCCUUCGGGUUGUAAAGCCCUUUUGUUGGGAAAGAAAAGCAGCAGGUUAAUACCCCGCUGUUCUGACGGUACCCAAAGAAUAAGCACCGGCUAACUUCGUG
rnacentral:rRNA from 1 species